rnacentral:rRNA from 1 species
UGGGGAAUAUUGGACAAUGGGCGAAAGCCUGAUCCAGCAAUGCCGCGUGAGUGAUGAAGGCCUUAGGGUUGUAAAGCUCUUUUACCCGGGAUGAUAAUGACAGUACCGGGAGAAUAAGCCCCGGCUAACUCCGUGCCAGCAGCCGCGGUAAUACGGAGGGGGCUAGCGUUGUUCGGAAUUACUGGGCGUAAAGCGCACGUAGGCGGCUUUGUAAGUUAGAGGUGAAAGCCCGGGGCUCAACUCCGGAAUUGCCUUUAAGACUGCAUCGCUAGAAUUGUGGAGAGGUAAGUGGAAUUACGAGUGUAGAGGUGAAAUUCGUAGAUAUUCGGAAGAACACCAGUGGCGAAGGCGACUUACUGGACACAUAUUGACGCUGAGGUGCGAAAGCGUGGGGAGCAAACAGG